rnacentral:rRNA from 1 species
AGUGGACGCUGGCGGUAGGCCUAACACAUGCAAGUCGAACGGCAGCACAGUAAGAGCUUGCUCUUACGGGUGGCGAGUGGCGGACGGGUGAGGAAUACAUCGGAAUCUACUUUUUCGUGGGGGAUAACGUAGGGAAACUUACGCUAAUACCGCAUACGACCUACGGGUGAAAGCAGGGGAUCUUCGGACCUUGCGCGAUUGAAUGAGCCGAUGUCGGAUUAGCUAGUUGGCGGGGUAAAGGCCCACCAAGGCGACGAUCCGUAGCUGGUCUGAGAGGAUGAUCAGCCACACUGGAACUGAGACACGGUCCAGACUCCUACGGGAGGCAGCAGUGGGGAAUAUUGGACAAUGGGCGCAAGCCUGAUCCGGCCAUACCGCGUGGGUGAAGAAGGCCUUCGGGUUGUAAAGCCCUCUUGUUGGGAAAGAAAGGCAGCAGGUUAAUACCCCGCUGUUCUGACGGUACCCAAAGAAUAAGCACCGGCUAACUUCGUG